UGGCCUGAUGACACCAGUAAUAGGCUGUGCCCUCAGAAGCGUUAACUGACCAUGUUCAUGUGUGUGUGGGG
ensembl:snoRNA